rnacentral:lncRNA from 1 species
UGGGUGAAAAAAUAUUAGUGCAACGUUGUAUUUUUUUUUGCUAAUGUUAUCUAGACCUUUCAACGUUCUAUAAAUAAUGUUCCAACAAUUUUUUCAUAACCUAAAUUGGUAGGAAGAUCUGAAAAACGUACCAAAAUGAAGUGAGUUUUCUGUCAGUGGGGUCAGAAAAAUUCAACUAACUCAAAGGGGGGGGAAAGAUUAUAAUUCUGACCACAUUAGUAGAUAUUUUUCUCAUUUUAAGCAAAAGCUCUUUAGAUAUUUGUACUGGAAGAAAAAAGCAGAAUUCUGAGGAAGCUUCCAGCAGCGAGUGAGGAGAGAUAGUGCUUGGAGUGAAUGGGUGCCGCCCAUCCCAACAGAAAAAGACACUGAAAGGAGAAGAGUCACUUCUGAAAUAAACCCGAGGAGGAGCUCAGAAACAUCAUUAGAGGUGCUGAUGACACUCCAGUCACACUGAAAUAAAGGCCAGGCAGACAGUCACUGACCGUCUGGACGAUGAAGAUCACUCUUACCGUCUGCUGACCUUUACCUCACACAACCAGGAGAUGAGUUCUGCUCUCAUUCACGACAAACUCUUCAUCAAGUCAUUCUGGGAGCAGAAGAUCAACAAUCACAAUCACACGAUAGAAGCUGAAGAAGAGAGGAUGAAGAGGAGCUCUCUCAUAAAGCUGCGUGACGAGUGGCUCACAAGGAUGGAGAACCGGACCAAACAUCUAAAGAAUUUUGGUGACAAUCGCGGGGGAAAUCCAGCGGCGAACUAACGGCACAUACGUGUGCGACACACAGAUGAGUCGAGCUCAAUAAACACACGUGUCACUGACUGCUGCUCGAUUCUCUUUAUUUCACUCAUUCAGACAGACGGAAAUAUUCGUGCGAGGGGAGACGUGAACAGGUGCACUGAAGGACACGAGCGCUGGCAUCUCACAGCCGUGUCAAAACACUGAUCCUCCGCGCCGGGACAAACACACCUAGAAAAACCCACAGACAGACGUGUCGAAAGAUGCCGUCAUACGAGCCGCCGCUGUAUUUCCAGCUCUGUCAGCGCUCGUUUAAACACAAUCCAUCAUCAGUAAUUAACAGAAACACCUCUGUCUCGCUGUUGAAGGUGUCAGAGGUCAUCACAUACGUGACCCUGGAGCACAAAACCAGUCAUAAGGGUCAAUUUAUUUAAAUUAAGAUUUAUACAUCAGCUGAAAGAAGCUGAAUAAAUAAG